rnacentral:rRNA from 1 species
GACGAACGCCGGCGGCGUGCCUCAUACAUGCAAGUCGAGCGGAUGUAGCAAUACAUCAGCGGCGGACGGGUGAGUAACACGUGGGCAACCUGGCCUUAAGAGGGGGAUAACGUCCCGAAAGGGACGCUAAUACCGCGUAAAUCAGCGAGACCGUAUGGUUUUGUUGGAAAAGGAGCGUCCGCUUAUGGAUGGGCCCGCGUCUGAUUAGCUAGUUGGUAGGGUAGAGGCCUACCAAAGCAACGAUCAGUAGCCGGCCUGAGAGGGUGGACGGCCACACUGGGACUGAGAACGGCCAGACUCCUACGGGAGGCAGCAUG